AAGGUUUUAAGUUAAUUAUAAACUAAUAUCCUUCAAAGCUAUAAAUAAAGAUAGUUUCUUUAAGCCUUA
rnacentral:tRNA from 1 species